CACGUAGGGGGCAAGCGUUGUCCGGAUUCAUUGGGCGUAAAGAGCUCGUAGGCGGUUCGAUAAGUCGGGUGUGAAACCUCCAGGCUCAACCUGGAGACGCCACCCGAUACUGUCGUGACUAGAGUCCAGUAGGGGAGUGUGGAAUUCCUGGUGUAGGGUGAAAUGCGCAGAUAUCAGGAGGAACACCAGUGGCGAAGGCGGCACUCUGGGCUGGCACUGACGCUGAGGAGCGAAAGCGUGGGGAGCGAACAGG
rnacentral:rRNA from 1 species